GUCUACGGCUAUGCUAACCUGAACAAGCCCAAUCCUGUCUGAUCUCGGAAGCUAAGCAAGGUGGGGCCUGGUUAGUACUUGGAUAGGAGACCACCUAGAAAGACCAGGUGCUGUGGGUA
rnacentral:rRNA from 1 species